rnacentral:lncRNA from 1 species
CCGCUCCAUCUAUCUGGGCUAGAAAGAGCUCAAUCCUGAGCUGCAUUCUGGUGAGUGAAUAUCUAAUAAACUUUUCUCUCUUUGAACUUCUGAAUCUAAGUUCAGUUUCUGUCUCCUUCUGUCAAGUUACUAUAUUUCAGUUCAGUAUUUUGAAAUAAUUAAUUGUUGUAAAGCAUAAUUACUAUUACUGUAUCAUCAAACAUUCAAAGCUCUUCCUUCCAUCUAAUUUCACCCCCUGUGUGUCAACUUUUCUUUUUAUAUCCUCCUAUAGCCCUACUCUCUGGAGCAUCUGGUCCACAGAUGAGAACCACAUUUGUCUUUCUGUUGAUGGUUUAUUUCAGUAAGUAGCAUGUCCUUCAUGCUCAGCCAUGUUACUGCAGGUAGCAGGUCUUUAUCUUUCAUCAAUAUUUAUGGCCAAAUAAUAUGCCAUUAUGGUCGUCUAGUGAUGGACACCUAGGUUGAUUCCAUAUGUUUCUAUUGUGACCAGUGAUGCCACAGGUAUGAACACAUUGGAAUCUCUGCAUAUUCAACAGGCUGAAUUUGCCCAUCAGUUACAACACUGUCUGCAGGGAUUUGUAGGUUGUGUGCAUAUAAGAUCCUAUCAUCUGUGAGGACUUUGUUCUUUCCUAUUUGGAUGUCCUUUGUUUCUCUCUCUCUCUCUCUCUCUCUCUCUCUCUCUCUCUCUCUCUUUUAAACUAUAAUGGCCAGGACUUUCAGCACUGUGUUACACAAAAGUGGUGACAGUGGUCCUCCUUGUCUUACUGCACAUGUUAGAGGACACUUCUGACAUUGCUCAGUUAAGUGGGGAGUGAUCUGUGGUGAACAAAGUCUUCAUCUGUGCAUACAGUAGGUGGAGGAUGGAUAUAUUAAAAGGUACACCCAAGUAGUGGGAUGAUAGAAGUCCAAUGCUCCGUUGCUGAAUUUUUGCCCAGUUUGGAAUGUAGAGUUAAUGUUCUCCUCUUAUUCAAUUGCAGUUUGUUUUUCCAUCAUUGCAUCCCAAGAAUGAUAUUUGUUUUAUAUGUAUUGGGGCUCUAUUGUUUCAUUCAUAUGCACAUAUUAACAUAAUUGUUUGAUCCUCUUGCUAUAUUGAUCACUUUACAACUAAAGGAUUUGUGUGUGUGUGUGUGUGUGUGUGUGUGUGUGUGUGUGUGUGUGUUUUGAUGGGUUUCUUAUAAAAAUCUAUUUCAUCUGACCAGCAUAACUAUAGUGACCUGCCAGUGACUGUUGCUAAGGAAUUGAAAUACUAUUCAAGAUUCAACAAAAUCAGUGGACUACAGUUGAUGCUACUCAAGAGCCCUUUACUGGGCAUCUCUGAAGCAUCAUUCCAAGAUAGUUCAAGGUUCAAAGCAUGGGCAGAGACGCAAUGAUAAACACACAGAGCAUUUCUUAGCACUAUCAGCAGAUAUGCCCAGAAUACACAAGGUCUUGUGGCCAAAGGGAGGCUGGUUGCACAAUGUCCUUGAGUGUCUAAGCCACAUUGCUGAGGAGCAGGGAAGUAUCUUUCCUUUUGUAUUCCUUCAGCAGGUGAAGGCAUUCCUCCCAGAGAAGUAAACAAAUUCUAUGGGAACAGGUUCACACAGCUCUAUAACAUAGUAAAGUCGUCUUACAUGCACGUGUUCCCCCAUUCUCCGUAAACUCUUACAUGAAGGUCAUAUGCUGCAUGGAGUUCAUGAAGUAUUAAAAACUGCAGGGUACAAUCAAAAUAAAAGUUAUAGUACCUGCCAAUGGCCCCACAAAGGGAAAGAGCCAAGAAAACUAAUUACUCCAGCUUCACCAGGAGAUCAUGAUUUCAUUGAUGUCCUUGAGCAAUUGAUCCAACUGUUGUGGGACCAGUUGAGAAUGUAAUAUUGAGGAACACAUGCCAGGAACCUGUUCAUAGGCAAUAUGAUGUUUCAGCAGUGAGUAAUCAAUGGCAGCUCAGUUUUUGUAAAGCCAGUAUUCAAAGUCCCUUCAUUUCUGUGCAGAAUUGUCCUAAGAGAGAAGCUGUGACACUGGCAGUUUUGAUGAAGAUGCAAACUAAUUGGGAGGUUUGCUGCCGAAGGUGCACCAGCAGUCAUCUUACUGGAAACCAGAAGGCAGCUACCAUUUGGCUUUACAACUGCAGAUAGUCAUUGCAAGUGGAUAGUGAACUCCCAGCCAUGCUGUGUAUGUUAGCUAAAGAGGGCAACAGUGGGAAAACUGCCAAUAGGGCAAUAUCCUGAGAAACUGGCUGGCAAUGCCCCAAAAUCGGUGUGGUUACAAAGAAAGGCAAAGACCUAUUUCCUGCCACAGUACAGUUAGGGGGUGUAUAGUCAGUAUUAGUACAUUCAAUAAUCAUCAAUGAGCCUGCACCCAAAAGACAAUGGGUAAGACUGAGUAAAAUGUCACAACUGAAUCACCCUGUGAAGUGAUGUUGUCACUUGUGACAUUAACAUAGUCAUCAUCCCUUAUUGAUAGUCAAACCAGAUUGUUUGAGGUGAUGAACAGAUUGUCCCUCCAGAACACAAAGUAAGGUUUUGUACAUGGUAUCUGUAGCCAUUUUUACCCCAAAAGUUGUUGAUUAAGAGUAACAGUGGAUUCAAAUAAGUCUACCUUUAAAGUUGCAUUAGCAUAAAAAUAUAUAUUUCUCUUUAAGUUUUGCACAAGUAUAAUUCCAUUUACCAGAUAUAGAGUUAGGGUCUUUAAAAAUACCAGAACUUAGAUUAUUUCUUUUAGUCUGAUCCUAGAUUUUCUUCCAAAGGUGACUCAUACAAUUUGGGCUAAAUAUCUUUAAGCCAUCCUUGCACCAAAUAAUAGAACCAAGAGCAGUUUCAUAAUACAUGAAAGUACAAUUUAGCAACAGUGGAGAACAGCUUACAGCCAAACUCACAAUAGGGACAGAGAGUUGACAGAUCUCUGUACAGUGUGAAAAUGAAUGAUAGCUAACAUCCCAAGGGACUUUGUUGUAGGGGCCACAGCUAAUCCUCCUGCCCCCUGAAUGAAGUGCUCAGCCUCUUGUGUAAGGUUUUUCCCUCCCUCCCUUGCCCCCUCCCUCCCUCCCUCCAUCUCUCCCUCCCUUCCUUCUUUCUCACCUUCCUUCCUUCCUUCCUUCCUUCCUUCCUUCCUUCCUUCCUUCCUUCCUUCCUUCCUUCCUCUUUUUGUCCCCAACUUGGUCAUGUUACUUGCUGCCUAUGAGGCAUACUUUCCCCUUCAGGGAUGGUGGUUUGCAUCUUUUUCAAUGAUGCUUCAGCUAGGUUCUCAUAGUGAAAUUAUGAUGACUCAUGACAAUGUUUUAAUCUUCAGCACCUAAGUGUCCUUUUCAUCUUCUAUGAAACUACAAACACAUCACUAAUACCACAGCUUGGCAAGCCUAGGGGUCCAAGUAUUAUAAAUUUUGUCUUUCCACCAAAUUAGCUGGUGGUGUUGGCUCAGUCCUAUGCUGUUGUGCUUCAAACCACCAAUUAUUAGUGAAAGUUUCAACUUCUAUAGCAUAUAAAGUAAAAUAUACUAAAUCUUUGGGGGAGGAAAAAUCCCCCCUUUAUGUUUUAAAGAAACAUUUCCAUGGUAGGAUGUUUAUGUUCAACUAUGAGUUGUUCCUGCACUUUUAAACAGGAUAUCUAUUAUAUGCUCAAUGUGCCAAUCAGCCAGAAGUCAGAAAAGCCAACACUAGCAUAUGUGAGUGUAAAAUAGCAAAAAUAUGUAGUAAAUGUGCAAUAGCAUGAAUGUUGUUUUAUUCUCUAGGUAGUACCGUAGCCCAUGUGUAACCUGAAAAGGUGUCAAUAAUGACAUGAACAAAGGACUGAACUGAAUAUGAGGAACAUCCAUCUGACAAAAUCCAUUGGGUUUGUUUACUUUGGGAGCAGUUUUGCCUGUGCCUGUGAAAGAAGGAGUAGUUGAAAUGGCAAUGGAAAGCAAUGGAAUCCUAAACACAGUGUUUAGGAUUUAGACAAAGAGAAGCAUUUUUUUUUGCAAGUAAGAGACUGGAAUAUUGAGCAUCUUAGGUUGUUUUAAGCUUAAUUUCUUGAUCAUUCCUUUUUAUUAGGGGACCAGGAAGUUCUAAAUGAGAUCUGAUAUGAGUAACAUAUACAGGAUGGAUUCAAUGUCUUAUCAAUUGUUCAACCUGAAAAAAGUUUAAGAGAUAUAGUUAUUUUCAUUUUGUCUAACAGUAGCCAUUUUAAAAAGUGGUAAUGAAACUGUAACAUACUGAGACGCAAUCACAGGAUUAAAUGAACUGGAAACACCCUUUAGCAAUAUCUGUACACCAUACAGCUCAUUUUGUUGUGUUCAUGAAAAGGACAUUUGUGCAAUCUUAAUGGAUGGUCCAGACAAGGCUGUCCAUCUUCAAUUAGCUCCCUCAAUGGGAAAGGGUGGAAGAUUUUGUGAACUAUCCAAAGAAGAAGUAUAGUUUGCUUCAGGCUUAACUUUGACUACAUAUACAGAAGAUAAUAUAAUGAGAGAUAUAAACCGGUCUCUUCCUCCAAUCCUGUCUUUGUAAAUGAAUUUCAUUUCUAUUUAACAUGACUCCAAACAAUUCUUUACCAUAGUUUCUGCUAUUAUCCAGUUUUUCCAAAUGGUUAAAACUUAAUGAAGUUGCCAGGCGUUGGUGGUGAAUGCCUUUAAUCCCAGCACUCAGGAGGCAGAGGCAGGCAGAUCUCAGUGAGUUCGAGGCCAGCCUGGUCUACAGAGCAAUUGCCAGGAUAGGCUCCAAAGCUACACAGAGAAACCCUGUCUUGAAAAACCAAAAAAAAAAAAACCUUAAUGAAGUUUACAAAUACAUAAGUGAUUAUCAUGAUUAGACAUACAUUUUAAGUUUUUUUUUUUACCACAAAUAGAUUAUUAUAACCUUAGAAAUUUAAAAAUCUUAGUCUUCUAAAAUUUGUCAUUCUUAAAUCCCAUCCUUCAUAAGCCUUAUAUAGCUUAUUCAGAUCUUCUGUGACUUGACUUUAAGAUUUUAUGAUUUUGUUCUCCCCUGUUAUUUUUCAUUUUAGGAUUUUGAAAUCUCAAAGCCCACACCCAGUGGCAUAUUUCCUCCAACAAAUCUACACCUACUCCAACAAGACCAAAACUCUUAAUAGUGCCACUCUCUGGUGAUGAUCAAGCUUUUAAAUAUAUGAGCUUAUGGGGAACAUUCUUAUUCAAAUCACAACAAAUAAAAAUAAAAGAGGGAGAAGAGGAAGAAUAAUCUCCUGUUGGGGGAAAGGGCCAUUAUUAGACUAUCUAGCUAUGAAGUUCUAAGAUUGCUAGGAUCAUUUACUCAUAGACAUAUACAAAGUAUAUUUAUGGAGUACUUACAAAAUAUAAGAUAAAUACCUAGGACAGUUUUAUUCCUUAAGAGAUGACCCAGAAGCUGAAGGCCAUCACAAAUCACCUUUUAAUCGGGCCUAUUUCAAGGAAAUUUUAUUAUGAGAUUUUCUUAGCACUGUUUUUUUCCAGGGCUGUAGGUAAGAAUUAUAGAAAACAUAAUGACAGGGAGUGUUAAAGGGCACAUGCAAAGAGUUGAUGAAUACUAGGCCUCAAACUCAAAAAUGACAUUGUAAAAUAAAAUUUUAGCAUAAUUUCUGUGGAGGAUAGAGUGGUUCUGACCUGGCAAUAAAAUAAGAGCUGUGCUGUGGAUACUAAUUAAAUUAGUAGGGCAAUAAAAAUGGAAAAAGAAGAGACAGCAAUAAGAAGAUAAAGUGUGACAUAAGCAAAUCUUUCAUGAAACAGACCUUUAUUGUAAUCCAGAUGAAGUUCUGACAUUAUACAAUGGGAGGUAUUCCUUGCUACUCCUUAGGAACCACAGAUUCCGACUUUGACUUCAAAGGGUACAUUAUUUCAUUUUUUUUAAAGUCGCUAUUUUGUUUUAGUAAAAUAAACUUAUUAUAUUAAGAUUUAAGUGAAAGUUGGUUGCAUCUUUGGCAGAGGCAUAUCUGACUUUCACUGAGUGGUCCUGAUUCGAAUGAGGAGGCAAACAUCAGAAAAGCUGGUAAUUACUUAGUUCUGACCUCUUGGGCCUGCUGCUGAGUUUCUGUGGUCGACUCCUGCUGUCACAUAGACUGGCCAUUGUCUAUUUUUAUAUUCUCUCAGCAGUUAGGAGCAUAGAUCCAGAGAAGUCUACUUCUCCACGUAUUCUGAGUCUCCAUGCCAUAACUCCCUGAUCAGUUUCUGAAAAAAAAAAAAAGGAAGAGUUGAAAUAUUUGCUAAAUCCAGAAAAUGAAUUACAUACAUAAAUUUAUUUUGACAGUGAUAAUGUUGAAUACUUCAUAGGAUGACGAAUUUCAAACUUCAUUUUUUUGAGAGAGAGAUAAGAGAGAGAAGCAGGAAAGGUCAGAAGUUUGUGACCCGUCAGUUUUAAAAUGCAACUCUCUGGUGAGCCUUAGAGGACUCUGAAUACCAGGCAGGAGACGAGGAACAUUUCAGAGGCAGAAAUCAAUAAAAGUCACUGGAAUAAAGGAAUGUGAGCAUGGGGCCAUGGUGCCCUCAGCAUGCUGCUGACUCUUCUUGCUCCUGAUGAAGACUAUGCAUCUGGGUUCUGAAAUUCUCUGUGUGAUCAGGUGGAAACAUGAUGCCAACUGCUGCGAGGAACCUUCGCUAAUGCUCACCAGUUCUUUGUGCCUGAAGAGCAAAGAUCUGAACUCAAACUACACACACACACACACACACACACACACACACACACACACACACACACACACUGACCCUAUUGAGUAUGAGGAGCUUUUGCUGACAUUGAAAAAGACUUUUGGGAAGAUGUUGAGCAGGGAAGAAGAUGAAAUGGCAAGAUUGCUGGUUGUGGGACUGUGUGGAAGGCUCAGUAUAUAUCAGGCCCUCGGUGCCAACCCAGCAUAGCAAGUCAGUCCACGGAGAAAUUAUAACACUUGUUCUGUUUUUCUCUAUUCUUGAUGACUACAUUUGUUUCUGUUCCAACAUGCCCCGAGAACCUCUGCUUUUGUGUUUUCCAGUUGCUAGGACAUAAACAGGCUGGGGAAAAAGAGCAUUUCAUACUCUCUAGAUUAUGGCUACAUUAUUCACUACGUGUUUGGCAUGAUUGCUUACAGAUUAUAUAUUUGAGGCAACAUUUAGUCCAGAGGUUUUCAUGAAGGUGGAUCUUACACAGGCAGGAUAAAAUUAGGAAUUCAUCAAGGUUACCUGCAAUUUAAGAGUCAAAUGGGGGAAAUAUUUUGAGCAACACACCCCUCUCUUUCAGCAGUCACUAAGGAUAAGGGAGCAUAUGCAGGAACACAAAUGUGUUGGUAAAAUCUCCAGAAGAUGCAUUGGAGAGAGAGAUAAGAAAGACCUGGAAGAAGUUUAUUUUGAGUGAAGCUUGGUAGUUUAUCAUAGGGAUCUGUUCUUGGCAUCUUAUGAUUUCUGCCGAGUGUUCUCUAUAAAGAAAGCUUAUUCAGGGAAACCCCAAAGGGUGCAUUAGGCAUGUAAGAAAUCACUUGAUGUUGCAGGAUAGGAGAACCAAAAGGAGUUCAGUCCUGGUGCUCUGAAGCCAGACUGCUGGGAUAGCAUAUAUGUAGAUCACCAUAUCUUCCUGUGAACUAUUUUAGCAACUAUUAUCUAUAGACAGCUUACAUUGUUAUAGAUUCUAUAUGUUGAAACUUAUGUAAAAUUAACUUUGUAUUCCUGUCUUGGAUGCCACCACAACACAGAGACAAAAAAGUCCUUCAUUCACAGAGUUAGCUAUCAAUCAUCCAUAGUAACUGAGAGACAGUCACAUAGGAAAGUGAAAUCAAUUUACCAGAGAGAUACAAGCACACCUAGGAGAUAAAGAACUCAUUGAUUCUUACUCUGUUUUUUUUUUUUCUUAUUUAUGAAAGCAGUGGGGUAGGGCUACAGAGUAUCCAUGAACUGAAAAGGGCCAAAUGUGCUAAAGAAACUGUUUGGUUCAAUUACUUUAUUCCAUUUUUUUUUUUGGUCUGCUACUGAACAUGUGUUCACUUUCUAAAUAUAUAUAUUUUUAAAUCUUUCUCUGAGCUUUUAGACAUUGUCUUCUUUCUGAGCAUUUCCCCUAAUUUUCUUCAUUUUAUUAAACUGAUUAUGACAGGAAUGUACAAGUAGAUUCAGUUCUGUCAAAUUGGUUUACAUACCAGAAAAACAUGAACUAUUAGAAUUUGGUUGCUGUUAUUUAGUGUUGGAAAGAGAUGUCACCAGAGUUUCUCUCUGUCAACAGUUUUCCUGGGUACAACACACUCAUGCUUAUGGUCAAAGUCUAUAAUAGGAUAGUAGCAUGUCAUAGAGACUCCUAUUGAAAGAGAUAAAACUAUGCUAGAGGAACUAUAGCCAUGGUUUUGUUAUUAAUAAGUAAUAGCCAUCAAGGUGAGCUUGGUUAUACAUGACUAUUUAUUGUAUGGCACUGAGAACUAUUUGAUGUCAAUGUAGCAUUUGUUGCCUGGAAGUUUAAAGGCAAAACAAUGGUGUUAUAGUUAGUGAAAGUUCUUGCUCUCCAGCACACUCAUCAUUUUCUCCUGUCCACUGAUGUCCUAUGCAGUAACGAGUCUGCCAACAUUAGCUCUAUGACUUCUUAUAAUUUGUAAGUCACAGGCUUCCUCUUCUUUGCCCUACUCCUGGCAUGUGGGUAUGAAAGCUUGUGUUUCCUCCACUCCAUGAAAUGCAGGCCUUAUAACAACUCACAUGCCAUGUUACGAUAAAUCUUUUUGCCAAAAGCCGCCUGAGCCCCACCGCCACGUGCGAGCUUUACGCCAGCCGCCCGCCCGAGUUAGGCCCAAAUGAAUACACAGAGAGACUUGUAUUAGUUACAAAGCUGCUUGGCCAAUGACUAGGAUUCUCAUUUGUUAGCUCAGUCUCAAUUACCAUAGAUCUAUAUAUUUUAUGGGACUUAUCUUAUCGGACGCCUUAUUGGCGUCCCUCCUUGCUGGUGAAUCACAUCGCGCCACUGGAGCAUGAGCCGAGGGGAAAAAAGAGAGACACUUCCUUUUUCCUCUUCUUAAAUAUGAGUCUCCUUGCUAUGUCACUUCCUGUCUGGAACACCACUUCUCUACUACAUUUCCCAGAAUCCUCUUUUACUCCUAGUCCAGCCUAACCUGCUGUCUCAUUGGCCAAGCAAGUACUUUAUUUA